GAUUUCCUGUUUCCGUUUCCGCUUACCCAGAGUGGCCACCUUGCAGUGGGCUGUUAAAUUUGCUCGACCGUGGUUGAUACGUGCCUGUAUCAAUGGGUUUUCUUCUUUUUGUGUGCACUGGUUAACAGCAGAAAUGCCUUUCACCGUGCCUACGUCGUCCGGUCAGCACUGUGUAGUGGUAGGUUGUGGCAACAACCAGCGAAAACGAAAGAAUAUCGCGGAUAGCUUGUGCGAAAAGCACGGCUUGAAGAAGGAGCAAUGUUGUUGCGACAUAUUUCUGCUACACCGCUUUCCCGCGAAUGUCGACUUGUGUCGUCAGUGGACUUCGCUGAUAAACAGGGAAGACUUUGCGCCAAACAGAAAUUCACGUGUGUGUUCUGCGCAUUUCGUGGAUGGAAAACGCACGGAGCAAAACCCUCUACCGAUGCUGAACUUGGGUUACGAGCGAAAGGUUAUCUUUGGGCGCAGACGCCUGAACCGAGACGAAAACACGCCACCACCAAUUAAGCGGAAGGCAAGUGUACAGAUUGUUAUGACAUUGUGUGGCUCAUAAUGAUUUAUUUCCAUUCCAGAGAAAAACGAACAAAGACACACAAGAUGAAGCGCCAGAAGCGUCACGCCAGGUUCCUUCACAGAGUGUCACUUCUGACGCACAAGCUUCCACGUUGACCUCGGUUUUAGACAGUUUGGAAGAUGUGGAAGAUACCAUUCUAGACAGCCCUAGUGCGUGCCAGGAAACAGAAGUUGCAGCACACACCGAAACCACAUCAGUCAGCAAUGUUCUGGGGAAUGAAGAUGUAAGUGCUCACACAGUCUGUCUAGGCUUUUGAACAUGGUGCCUGUUUAAGAAGUACACCCAUUAAUAUGGUUUCUCCUUUCAUA